GAUGAACGCUGGCGGCGUGCCUAAUACAUGCAAGUCGAGCGAACAGACGAGGAGCUUGCUCCUUUGACGUUAGCGGCGGACGGGUGAGUAACACGUGGAUAACCUACCUAUAAGACUGGGAUAACUUCGGGAAACCGGAGCUAAUACCGGAUAACAUGUUGAACCGCAUGGUUCAACAGUGAAAGACGGUCUUGCUGUCACUUAUAGAUGGAUCCGCGCCGCAUUAGCUAGUUGGUAAGGUAACGGCUUACCAAGGCAACGAUGCGUAGCCGACCUGAGAGGGGGAUCGGCCAACCUGGAACUGAGACACGGUCCAGACGCCUAAGGGAGGCAGCAGUAGGGAAUCUUCCGCAAUGGGCGGAAACCUGACGGAGCAACGCCGCGUGAGUGAAGAAGGUCUUCGGAUCGUAAAACCCUGUUAUUAGGGAAGAACAAAUGUGUAAGUAACUAUGCACGUCUUGACGGUACCUAAUCAGAAAGCCACGGCUAACUACGUG
rnacentral:rRNA from 1 species